ensembl:lncRNA
GGAGGCCACAUGGUGAGGCAUUAGUACCAGUGAUCCCUCCUGCUGAUGUCACCACGCUGAUAAGGAGGGAGCAUGGCUGGUGAAGCCCUUAUCUGUAGAGGCCAUCUGAAAUGGCACUGCACAGGCUGGGAGACAAGCGGCAAGAAAGCAGAAAGGGACCUGGGGUGUUGAUGACAGCAAGGAUGUUAGGGUCCUUGAAGGCAUCAAGAGGAGGGCAACAAAGCAGCCAAUUCUACAUUCCAAGCCUGGAUCGCCUGUACUUUGCUGCCAUUGCUUGUGGCAGGUGUUACCAACAACCAGAGCAAAAGCAGCCAAGUUCACUGCAGCGUGCCAAAAGUGUGCCACAGCCCGGGCCCACAUCUUUGUCCGCAAGGUGCAGCCAAGCACAGCACUCCAGAAGGACAGGAAUCACCAGUGAGCAGUUCCAGGUCAGCCUUCAUCAACGUUUGGGCCUCCUGAUGGCUUCCAAACUGAAAUACUCUUCUUCUGUGCUUCUACCUGGCCACAAAUUGAGCUGCUGCCAUUGUAACAGAUUCUGGCCUUCCUGCACUAGUAGGUACACCUUGAGAACACCGUGGCACUCCUGUACACAAAGCCAAAUCUGGGCUGCACAAAAUGAGUCUGGCUGGUGCUUCUAGGUGAGCUGUUCAGACAUUGACCUGUGUGUAGUUAAACAAAUCAACCCGUCUGCAAGGAUUUGUGCGAGAAAACAAAUGACAGAGCAAACAGAGGACAGAACAGCUGUGACAGCAGUAAGGACUGAGCCUCACCCUUUAAAAGGUUUUCGAGUCUCAGUGAUUCCUAUUACAGAUGGAGUGGAAUUAGGAACCUUGAGUGUGUACUUCUGUCCUCACAGGGGAAUACCGGAGCAAAAAAACAUGCUGUUCUCACAGCUCAAUUACAAUGAGGAAAACACUGACUCUAAUGGCAAGUAAUUGUUGUCUUUGUUCUUUCUGCUCUUUUAUUUUUAAGAGGAUUUUACCUUACACGAAAGUUGCUCAUAGUGAGGGGAACCAGCUAAGGUUCUCAUUGGCAGCUGGGCCUCGUGCUGGGGCUGUGCAGGGGAGCAGUGCAGAGAACGGCAGCUCAGAAAUGAGAGUGAAUUCAUACAUGUCCAGGGGCUCCACACAGCAGCGUCACGGCAUGGCCAAGGCCACAGCUGCAGGCAGUGGUCUGUGCUGGGAACUUCUUCCUGGGCUGCCCAAGGAUUUGCCCCUUUGAAACAAUCCUGAAAGAAGUUUUGUGUACAGCUGCAUUAUAAACAGUUACACAUGGAAGAUGGAUCUGUACUGCAAACAUACGUGGCAGGUGGAUCAAGGACACCCAAAGGACACACACGUGGAGGUGCUGCUGCAUGUAUGCAAGACUUACCAGAAGCAGAAGGUUACAACCGAGGUUAGAUGUACUUCAGCUCUCUAUGAAAAAGGAUCUAAAUAAUCUGGCAGCUUUUCACGUUUGUGAUAUUUUGGAUCAUCACACAGUUUUAAAGAAGCUAUCAGUCCGAAAGGGAAAUGUUCAACCCAACAGGAACUGCUGAAUCAGCUUGAGGUUAUGAUUCCAGCAAGUGGUGGUAGGCUAAAGAACAGACAAAGAUCAGAAGUGAAUUAUAGCUGCAUCACAGGACUAGGCGGGAUGAUGGGCUAAAGCAGCAUUCCUAAAAACAUGACAGCAAAAUCCUUAAACUAAGAGAGCAAAAGAAAGCUUGCAUGAAGUCAUACCACCGUGGCACCUUGGUUCUUCUGUUUCACCAAAUGUGUGUCAUUUGGCUGCACGUUUUACCUCAUUCCUUUGCUCACCUGGUAGAGGGGAAGGAAGAGACUUUCCAAAAUUUACUGCAAGGUGUUGAUGGUUACUUUAAGAUACAAGAGCAGAUUUUUAUGAGCGCGACAUGCAAGCUCUCCUUCAUUGUACUGAGAAUUUGCUCUACCAAUUAGUGUUGUAGUGCUCUUUGUAUCCCCUCUGGAUGCAGGACGUUCUGGGGGGGCACCCUGUGGAAAUGUGAGGGGAGGAAAGCAUGGCAGGAAGCACAUGAGCCUUGUGUAGAAGCAACCGGCGUUGCUUCAAGCAAACAGGUAGCCCUAAGCUUACCACAUCCUGCCAUGAGAAAUGAGCACAGAGAGCGACUACCAAAGAAAAUAAAAACGCAAAACGUUGCCAGGAGGGUGUGGAGGAGAUGUUUCAAAUGCUUCCUGCUGAGAGCGGCAGGCCGGGCCCCUCAGGCCCGGCGUAACAGAACUGCAGAACGGUUUGCGUUGGAAGGGCUCUCAAAGACCACCGAAGGGCACCGUCCACCUGCCG